rnacentral:lncRNA from 13 species
AAAAGUCAGAAGCUUGGUUGUUAAUUAUGACGGAGUACAAUGAUUCUUCCUUAAUUUCUACUAAAAGAGACGUACAACAAUUGAGAAAGUAUUGGUCUAAUUUAAAACAACAAAGUAAAAACAUAUUGACUACUGAAAGACAAUCAAGGUUUCUCACAGGAGGAGAAUCACAACAAAA